UACAAACGACUUCUAAUCCAACUAGAACUCUAUCUCUAACUUUAAACAGAAAAACUUCUUAUCCGACUAGAACUCUAUCCCCAAAUCUAAACAGAAAACGAAUAUUUACAAGUACGAUUCGUACUAUCUUUACGUGCUUCAUGGGCUGACCUCCUCUUUCAUCUUCAUAAUCCUUUUUAAGCCCACAUCGGCCCAAUCACCUCUUUAGCAAGGAGGUAACCGAUCAGGACCCACACGUCAAGGGCUCAAACCCAUCCCGACCCUUGGCACUAGGGUCGGACGAGGCGGAGAUCCUCCUUUGGAGGGGUCAGGCGCGUCCGACCCCAAGCCUCUGGGGUCGGGCGAGGCGGAGAUCCUCCUUUGGAGGGGUCGGGCGCGUCCGAUCCCAAGCCUUAGGGGUCGGGCGAGGCGGAGAUCCUCCCUUGGAGGGUCGGGCGCAUCCGAUCCCAAGCCUUAGGGGUCGGGCGAGGCGGAACUCCAAGGAUCAAUCAGCCGAUCCUCGACUGAAGCAUCAAAUGGCCGAUCCUUGACUGUAGCAGCAAUCGGCCGAUUUCCAAUCGUCGCCCUUGUAUCUCGCCGCAUCUUCCGAUCUUUUCUUCUCCUAACGCCGAUUUUACACGUGUCAAAAUCUGGCGUCAACACAUGCCCCCCAGUUUCGGAGUAAAACAUAGUCUUUACUUCGAAAUUCUUUUUAACUUCACAUCCGAAAUAGACACCACGAAAACAUCCUGAUGAUUGCAAUCUUUUCGAAACGGGCGCCCACGACAACCACUACUCCCGAAAAACUCGAAACGCCGGCGCGGUAAAAAUUCCAUUUUUACCCCUUCUCAGACCUUCUUUAAAUAUCAGCACAUCCCGUACUCCUUACGAGCUCACGUCCUUCUUCUUCAGCGCACAGGCUUUCUUCUUCCUCCAAUACUUUCCUCAAUCCUCCAAUUCCCCAGCUCCUCCUUCUCUUCGC
rnacentral:lncRNA from 1 species